CAGUCGCCCGGUAACACGGAGGGUGCAAGCGUUAAUCGGAAUUACUGGGCGUAAAGCGCACGCAGGCGGUCUGACAAGUCAGAUGUGAAAUCCCCGGGCUUAACCUGGGAACUGCAUUUGAAACUGUCAGGCUGGAGUCUUGUAGAGGGGGGUGGAAUUCCAGGUGUAGCGGUGAAAUGCGUAGAGAUCUGGAGGAAUACCGGUGGCGAAGGCGGCCCCCUGGACAAAGACUGACGCUCAGGUGCGAAAGCGUGGGGAGCAAACAGGAUUAGAUACCCCGGUAGUCCCUGUCUCUUAUACA
rnacentral:rRNA from 1 species